CAGCAGCAGCCGCGGGAAUACGUAGGUGGCAAGCGUUGUCCGGAAUUAUUGGGCGUAAAGGGCUCGCAGGCGGUUUCUUAAGUCUGAUGUGAAAGCCCCCGGCUCAACCGGGGAGGGUCAUUGGAAACUGGGAAACUUGAGUGCAGAAGAGGAGAGUGGAAUUCCACGUGUAGCGGUGAAAUGCGUAGAGAUGUGGAGGAACACCAGUGGCGAAGGCGACUCUCUGGUCUGUAACUGACGCUGAGGAGCGAAAGCGUGGGGAGCGAACAGGAUUAGAUACCCGCGUAGUCCCUGUCUCUUAUAC
rnacentral:rRNA from 1 species